rnacentral:rRNA from 1 species
UACGGAGGGUGCAAGCGUUAUCCGGAUUCACUGGGUUUAAAGGGUGCGUAGGCGGGCAGGUAAGUCCGUGGUGAAAUCUCUGAGCUUAACUCAGAAACUGCCAUGGAUACUAUUUGUCUUGAAUUUUCCGGAGGUAAGCGGAAUAUGUCAUGUAGCGGCGAAAUGCUUAGAUAUGACAUAGAACACCAAUUGCGAAGGCAGCUUACUACAGGGAUAUUGACACUGAGGCACGAAAGCGUGGGGAUCAAACAGG